rnacentral:misc_RNA from 1 species
GAUGAAGAACGUAGCGAAAUGCGAUAAGUAAUGUGAAUUGCAGAAUUCAGUGAAUCAUCGAAUCUUUGAACGCACAUUGCGCCCCUUGGUAUUCCGAGGGGCAUGCCUGUUCGAGCGUCAUUAUAACCCCUCAAGCUCAGCUUGGUGUUGGGGCCUGCUGCACUGGCAGCCCUUAAAACCAGUGGCGGCGCCAUCUGGCUCUAAGCGUAGUAAUUCUUCUCGCUAUGGAGUCCUGGUGGAUGCUUGCCAUCAACCCCCAAUUUUUCUAUGGUUGACCUCGGAUCAGGUAGGGAUACCCGCUGAACUUAAGCAUAUCAAUAAGCGGAGGA